rnacentral:tRNA from 1 species
GCCCCUGUGAUGGAACUGGUAGACAUGGUGCCCUCAAAAGGCAUUGCCGAAAGGCGUGUCGGUUCGAAUCCGACCGGGGGUACCA